AUACGGAGGAUCCGAGCGUUAUCCGGAUUUAUUGGGUUUAAAGGGUGCGCAGGCGGCCCUUUAAGUCAGCGGUUAAAUCGUGGGGCUCAACCCCAUUCUGCCGUUGAUACUGGGUGGCUUGAUUGCGGUCGAGGUUGGCGGAAUUCGUUGUGUAGCGGUGAAAUGCAUAGAUAUGACGAAGAACACCGAUUGCGUAGGCAUCUGACCAGGCCGCAAAUGACGCUCAUUCCCGAAAGUUCGGGGAUCGAACAGGAUUAGAUACCCUGGUAUUCCGCACAGUAAACGAUGAAUACUUGUUUUCGGCGAUAUAAUGUCGGAGGCAAAGCGAAAGCGAUAAGUAGUCCACCUGGGGAGUACGCCGGCAACGGUGAAACUCAAAUGAAUUGACGGGG
rnacentral:rRNA from 1 species